rnacentral:rRNA from 1 species
UAGGGAAUCUUCGGCAAUGGGGGCAACCCUGACCGAGCAACGCCGCGUGAGUGAAGAAGGUUUUCGGAUCGUAAAGCUCUGUUGUAAGAGAAGAACGUGGGUGAGAGUGGAAAGUUCACACAGGGACGGUAACUUACCAGAAAGGGAGGGCUAACUACGUGCCAGCAGCCGGGGUAAUACGUAGGUCCCGAGCGUUGUCCGGAUUUAUUGGGCGUAAAGCGAGCGCAGGCGGUUUAAUAAGUCUGAAGUUAAAGGCAGUGGCUUAACCAUUGUUCGCUUUGGAAACUGUUAAACUUGAGUGCAGAAGGGGAGAGUGGAAUUCCAUGUGUAGCGGUGAAAUGCGUAGAUAUAUGGAGGAACACCGGUGGCGAAAGCGGCUCUCUGGUCUGUAACUGACGCUGAGGCUCGAAAGCGUGGGGAGCAAACAGG